rnacentral:ncRNA from 1 species
CGAUAGAGGUUGCGGAGAUUAUGAGUAACGGUCUUCAAAAAGCGCAGGGGAGCGCGGCCGUGAAAGGAUGAUCCGCCGAAGCUUACCGGAAUCCCUGAGCCGGUCUGCUGGGACGGUACAAUAAGAUGUGCCGGACUGUCACGCAAGUGGAGCGCUAUCAU